AAUAUCGCUAGGUGGCAGUGCAUUCGCCAUAGCAUCUCAUGCUCAACAAAUUCAUUCAAAGAAGAAGAACGAUUAGAAUAGAGCACGCAUGCGCAGAAUGCAGGUGUAUUCUACUGUUGGCUGGUGAACGUGGCGGUGCUCAGACAGGAGAUGUUUACUGUUCUACAUGGAUUCAGACUGAUGUACUGCAGGCGAGCACGUGGUUGGGGGUGAAGAGAUGAAGAUGAGGAUGAAGGUUCCUUCACAUUGUGCCAUCAUGUCUCCUACAUCUGACCUGGAUGUAUAAAGUCCACAUGGACUAAGAUUUCCCUGAGUAAUCUUCUGGGAUCCAAAUCCCUGAUUGCCUGGGAUUCCUGGAAUCCCGCGUUUGUUGAGGAGACGCAUGAAUCGAGACUGAAGCUGCAAAAUCAGGAUCCAGUGUGCCUGUUUUUGUAGACUACGAUAAUGUUUCUGUGCUGCACAUAGUUUUGCUUUUGUUCAUUUUAUUUCCUCAUUUUCUGGAGAAACGUCUAAUUUUCCAGUGUACUUAAUCAGCUAUAUGUAGAGGUCUGAAAUUACAAUAAAAAGAUUCUUGAAUUCUUCUAAAA